AGUGAACGCUGGCGGUAGGCCUAACACAUGCAAGUCGAACGGCAGCACAGUAAGAGCUUGCUCUUACGGGUGGCGAGUGGCGGACGGGUGAGGAAUACAUCGGAAUCUACUUUUUCGUGGGGGAUAACGUAGGGAAACUUACGCUAAUACCGCAUACGACCUACGGGUGAAAGCAGGGGAUCUUCGGACCUUGCGCGAUUGAAUGAGCCGAUUUCGGAUUAGCUAGUUGGCGGGGUAAAGGCCCACCAAGGCGACGAUCCGUAGCUGGUCUGAGAGGAUGAUCAGACACACUGGAACUGGGACACGGUCCAAACUCCUACGGGAGGCAGCAGUGGGGAAUAUUGGACAAUGGGCGCAAGCCUGAUCCAGCCAUACCGCGUGGGUGAAGAAGGCCUUCGGGUUGUAAAGCCCUUUUGUUGGGAAAGAAAAGCAGCAGGUUAAUACCCCGCUGUUCUGACGGUACCCAAAGAAUAAGCACCGGCUAAGCUCGUG
rnacentral:rRNA from 1 species